rnacentral:rRNA from 1 species
UGGGGAAUAUUGCACAAUGGGGGAAACCCUGAUGCAGCAACGCCGCGUGAGUGAAGAAGUAUUUCGGUAUGUAAAGCUCUAUCAGCAGGGAAGAAGAUGACGGUACCUGAAGAAGAAGCCCCGGCUAACUACGUGCC